rnacentral:rRNA from 1 species
UACGGGGGGGGCAAGCGUUGUUCGGAAUUACUGGGCGUAAAGGGCUCGUAGGCGGCCAACUAAGUCCGACGUGAAAUCCCAAGGCUUAACCUUGGAACUGCGUCGGAUACUGGAUGGCUUGAAUUCGGGAGAGGGAUGCAGAAUUCCAGGUGUAGCGGUGAAAUGCGUAGAUAUCAGAAGGAACACCGGUGGCGAAGGCGGCUUCCUGGACUGUUACUGACGCUGAGGCGCGAAGGCGUGGGGAGCAAACAGG